rnacentral:rRNA from 1 species
CUACGGGAUGCUCCAGUGAGGAAUAUUGCACAAUGGGGGCAACCCUGAUGCAGCAACGCCGCGUGGAGGAUGACGCAUUUCGGUGUGUAAACUCCUUUUAUCAGAGAAGAACCAUGACGGUAUCUGAUGAAUAAGCUCCGGCUAACUCCGUGCCAGCAGCCGCGGUAAUACGGAGGGAGCAAGCGUUAUUCGGAAUCACUGGGCGUAAAGGACGCGUAGGCCGGUCUGUAAGUCAGGUGUGAAAUGCAAUGGCUCAACCAUUGAACUGCACUUGAAACUGCGGACCUAGAGUAUGGAAGGGGCAGAUGGAAUUAGUGGUGUAGGGGUAAAAUCCGUAGAUAUCACUAGGAAUACCGAAAGCGAAGGCGAUCUGCUGGGACAUAACUGACGCUGAGGCGUGAAAGCGUGGGGAGCAAACAGGAUUAGAUACCCCAGUAGUC